GCCCGGCUAGCUCAAUCGGUAGAGCGUGAGACUCUUAAGUUCCCCAGAGUUCACACAUCUCAAGGUUGUGGGUUCGACCCCCACGUCGGGCU